CAGCGUUAUUGGUUUUAGGGCAAACGGAAUCGGGUUUGAGCUUAGAUCAAGGGGAAUCGGUAAUUUCCUCUGAGGAGGUUCAUUCGAUUAGUGUUAACAGAUUGACGAUGGGGCGUGAAGGGAGUCUUAGCCCUAGUUCAGGGUCGUUCGCUGCUUUGGUGGUGUGUUGGCCAUUUGUAUAAGUGAAGGAGUCCACCUUAUUAUAAGGAAAAUAGAUUAUUCUUCCCAUGACUUUUUGUUGAUGCAUAUUUACUCAGAAGUCUCUUGAAAUUAGAUGAAAUUGUCCUAACUGAUGGUUUCUCCUUUGCAACUAAUAUUCCUCUUUAACUGUACCCUUUUCUUAAUACGACAAGCAAAUCAAGGCCAUUUGAGUACUUGAGGCUGACUAGCUUAGGCGUCAUUGGUGCUUUGGUGAAGGUUGAUGAUACAGAAGUUAUUAGCUUCCUUCUCUCAACAGAAAUAAUUCCACUAUGCCUGCGGACGAUGGAGAUGGGCAGUGAACUAUCAAAAACAGGUAAGCAAAACAGUGCAAGUGGUGAACAUAGGGUGCACAGAGGUGGUGCUUGGAAGAAUUCCCUUCACCAGAAGCCUUAAAGCAUUGAAUUAUUGUUUCAACCAAACCACCAAUAGAAUAUCAGGAAAGGAGUCACCAGACCUUGCAGCUUAGCUGGAUCCUGAUGACAAGAUGAGCUUAGAAAUAAAUUUAUUUCAUCAGCUUAUAAUCUACAAAUGAAAUUUACUUCAUUCUGUUAUAAUUUCUAAGGUUCUCAAUUACUUUAACAUGUUAAAAUUUUGUUAUGGUUAAUAGGACGACAUCGAUCAGGAUGAUGAAGGCAAUGAUGACUGUGAGCAGAAAUCAUGCCAGCUAGGAGCACGUCAAUACAAGCAUCCGAUUGCAAUUCAUGCUGGGAAACCAAAGAAUGGAUUGAAAGAGGCUUUGAGGGCUGGAAUUGGAAAAAUUAAACGUCUUAGUUUGUGUGAAACAACACUUGAAAAGGCAACAAAAUCUUAUGGAAUUGACCUUGUGAGGUUCACACAGAAGAAUAUUCUGAGGGUAUACCCAAAGUGGACCCGAGUCACCUCCUCAAAUUUCAAUCCACUUACUGGAUGGAUGCAUGAAGCUCAGAUGGUUGCAUUUAAUCUGCAGGUGCGAAUGAGAUGUUUCCUUCAAGGCAAUAGCGUGGAUGGAUUUUCAGGAAGCAAGAGCUUCUUAAUUAUGUCUUGUGGUGUGUAUGUUGGUAUUUGUGAAGCCAAGGGCUUAAGAUGUAAUGAGCGAGACUCAAUUUGUGUAACCAAGCAAUGACUUAGAAAGAUGUAAGUCUACAUGACAUUUAAUUGGUUGUUAAAUAGUAAACUCUGAUGUAUGAAAGUAUGUUCUUUCUCA